rnacentral:rRNA from 1 species
GUAUUGAAAUAAGAUUUUAAUUGAAUGCUAAGAGAAUGGACUCUCAGAGAAAAACUUUUUUUAAAUUAAAAAUUGAAAUUUUUUUAAUUUGUGCAGAAACAAUUAUUAAUAUUAAGGACAAGAAGACCCUAUGAAUUUAUUAAAUUUCAUUCAAUAUGUAAUUACUAUUGAAGAAAUUUUGGCUGGGGCGGCUAAAAAAUAUUUUAAACUUUUUAAAAAUAAAAUGAUCCAUUAUUAAUGAUUAUAUGUUAAAUACUCUAGGGAUAACAGCGUUAUAUUUUUUGAUAGACCAUAUUGACAAAAAAGUUUGCGACCUCGAUGUUGGAUUAGGAUACUUUUUAAUGCAGAUAUAAAAAAAGAAGU